rnacentral:lncRNA from 1 species
ACUGGAUUUUAGACUGAGUUGCCAAGUGUCAGUCAGGAGGCUGGAAGAAGAUACAUCUUCCCUUGGAUUUGAGGAAGAGGUAUAGCCAAGCCAAGGAAAACAGAGAAAGUGAGGAUGAAGGAGGAGGACAUUUUCCUCAGCUGCUGACAAGGAGUAAUAACAGAUCCCGGCGUGUGUGCGCUGACCCCAAAGCACUCCUGAGUCAACCGGCUGCGUCUGAAUCCACUUAAAGCUGAAACACUGCAUUCAGUUACCAAAACUUGGAAAUGAAGAAAAGAGCAACAAAAUUAUUAAGCAGCAGCUGAAAAUGACUUAUAAGGAAAGAUUUAGAGUUUAAUAUGUACAGUUUAGAUAAGUGACGUGAAGGAUAGACAUGAUACAUUGCCAGUAUUGAAAGGCAUGAACAGCAAGUGGAGACAGGAAUUAUAUAAGGUGGUAGAAGGAAAUAACUAAUGAGAAUGUG